rnacentral:rRNA from 1 species
AUUGAACGCUGGCGGCAGGCCUAACACAUGCAAGUCGAGCGGAUGAAGGGAGCUUGCUCCUGGAUUCAGCGGCGGACGGGUGAGUAAUGCCUAGGAAUCUGCCUGGUAGUGGGGGAUAACGUCCGGAAACGGGCGCUAAUACCGCAUACGUCCUGAGGGAGAAAGUGGGGGAUCUUCGGACCUCACGCUAUCAGAUGAGCCUAGGUCGGAUUAGCUAGUUGGUGGGGUAAAGGCCUACCAAGGCGACGAUCCGUAACUGGUCUGAGAGGAUGAUCAGUCACCCUGGAACUGAGACACGGUCCAGACUCCUACGGGAGGCAGCAGUGGGGAAUAUUGGACGAUGGGCGAAAGCCUGAUCCAGCCAUGCCGCGUGUGUGAAGAAGGUCUUCGGAUUGUAAAGCACUUUAAGUUGGGAGGAAGGGCAGUAAGUUAAUACCUUGCUGUUUUGACGUUACCAACAGAAUAAGCACCGGCUAACUUCGUG